GGUUUAAUUCGAUGGAACGCGAAGAACCUUACCUGGUCUUGACAUAGUAAGAACUUUCCAGAGAUGGAUUGGUGCCUUCGGGAGCUUACAUACAGGUGCUGCAUGGCUGUCGUCAGCUCGUGUCGUGAGAUGUUGGGUUAAGUCCCGCAACGAGCGCAACCCUUUUCCUUAUUUGCCAGUGGGUUAAGCCGGGAACUUUAAGGAUACUGCCAGUGACAAACUGGAGGAAGGCGGGGACGACGUCAAGUCAUCAUGGCCCUUACGACCAGGGCUACACACGUGCUACAAUGGUCGGUACAUAGGGUUGCUACCUAGCGAUCAGGAUGCUAAUCUCAACAAGCCGAUCGUAGUCCGGAUUGGAGUCUGCAUCUCGACUCCAUGAAGUCGUAAUCGCUAGUAAUCGCGGAUCAGAAUGCCUCGGUGAAUACGUUCCCGGGCCUUGUACACACCGCCCGUCACACCAUGGGAGUUUGUUGCACCAGAAGUAGGUAGUCUAACCGCAAGGAGGACGCUUACCACGGUGUGGCCGAUGACUGGGGUGAAGUCGUAACAAGGUAG
rnacentral:rRNA from 1 species